UGUUCAUAAUUAUCUAUAUUUUCAAUAUCCGAAUUGUAUUCGUAUUCAUUUAAAAUAAAUAUGAAUAUAAAUUUUUACAUUCAAAUAAUAUUUAUAUUUAUAUUUAUAUUUAUUAAAUAAAAUAAAUAUAAAUAUGAAUAAUACUGAUAUCCAAUCCAGUUUCAAUCUUAUCCUCGAGUCAAACUCGAGUAGGAUGAUAAACUUGCACAAUAUAAAAUAAUCCCACUCAGGCU
rnacentral:lncRNA from 1 species